UGAUGGGGCAGAAGAAAAAUUACAGGGUAGGAGCUCUUUCAGCAGUUCCAGCGAUAACAGUGAGCAAGUUGUUUCCGAAUGGGUCGCUCAGAUGGGCUGCAAGGUUCUCAACAGGGCCUUCUCCUGUAACGUAAGCUUGGAUGAAGAAGCCAAGCAUGGCAAACAUCGCCAGUCUACCAUUCUUAAUCUCCUUCACCUUAAGCAGUGCAGCCUGGUCUGGGUCAUUUGCAAGCCCCAGAGGAUCAAAAGGACCACCUGGGUGAAGCUUGUCCUCCAAAUCCUACAGCAAAAAGACCAAUAAUGAGAUCAUAUGACCAGUGAUGCUACAUCUUUGGGCAUACUAAUGAAUGUUGACUUAAUGCAAUAUUAAGAAUUCGUUUCAUAGUGAUUCUAAAAAGCAAUUCUAGCAUUUCUAAUACUUGAAAAUUUUUAUUGAAGAGUUGUUUUCAGGUAUUAAAAUGCUAAAAACGCUUCUUAGAAUCACGAUCGAUCAAACAAGCUCUAAAUCAAGUUUCAACAUCCAGUUUUACAGUAAUAAGGACUAAAAUGGACAGAAUAUGCAGAAAAAACAUGUGAUAUUUUGCUUAUUGCACACGAUACUUUUUAAAGACAUAUGCAGAAAAAACAUGUGAUAUUUUGCUUAUUACACACGAUACUUUUUAAAGACAUCCAGGGUAUUACUCGUAAACCCGAAAGGAACUUUUGAGACUAGGCUUUUAAAUGAAAGGGCAUUCAAGCAAUGGCACUGUAUUUACUUCCAAACUAAUAUACAAUUAUCAGAAGGUAUUGUUGAACACCUCUUUAGAACAUCUAAUACAAGAAAAGGAUAUUGAAAGAUAUGUAACGAGUAGAGGUUUAUAUACCAAGCCAUUGAUUAUUCUGUAGUACUCAGCACCACCAACAAGAACAACCUCAGCGACGACAGCAAAAAUAAGGUUAAUGGGGAUGUUCUUUCCGAAGUAAUUCAGUGUGUUCCCAUCAAGGAGUAAAGCUCCUGUCUGCAUUCAGGUCAGAAAACCUCAUCAGCCAAAGCAAAUGAUGAAUGAAAUAUUCAGAAACUUAUCAAUAAUUCCCGCAUCAGAAGAAGAUGAUGGGCAAUGGGCAAUGGGCAAUGGGCAAUGGGCAAUGGUGAAAUUUCUGUUAGGGGAAUGUUAAACUAAAAUAGACGAGUUUUUCAGACCCCAAGCUUUUCCACAUUCAUUGAUGUAAUUUUGUAGUGUAUUCUGCCUUCCUCGAAUUCCCCUUCUUGUGGGAGUACAAAUCCAAGGAAAGGGUGGAUAAAUUUUUUGAGGAAUUUGGAAAAGGGAAGUUAAGGAAGCAAACCUUGAACCACACAGCUUCAGGGCCGCAGUUGGCACCGAAUUUGUUGAAGGCCUCAGGGAUGAUGAAGCCAGCUGCGCCGAGCAUAGCCCACCGGGCGUGGAUCAGUUCAUAUGCUUGAUAUCUGCAACAAACCCCUCACGAAUUUCUCUUCAUCAGUGGCAUAAAACAGAUCCCUUUUUCUAGACAAUCCAGUACAAAUCUCAUUACAGUUCAAGGCAAAAAAAGGAAGAAUCAACCAACAGUUUCACUUACUUGGCGAAGUCCUCUGGCUUCUUGCUGAGCCCAAAAGGAUCAUAACCAUAACUGCAGCCACAGAAACAAAUCAGCAAAAUUUCCCAGCAUUCACUUCUUCAGUCUGUUUUUCUCAUGUUUUCUUGGAAAACAAACACAAAGUUGAGGAUAUAUAUAUAGAAUCUUACUCUCCGGGAACCUCUCCGGUCAAGUACGCAGGGAUUUCUGAUCUGUCCAACAGACCCUCUGGCAAGAAAAUCCUCCUGUCCGGACCUGAAAAUAACUCGGAAAGCUUAAAUUAUUAGAUAAUAAGCAAAAAAAAAAAAAAAACGUGCAUCAACUCAGACUAAUGGAUUUUUAAUAAACCCAAAAGCUUAAUCGAUUAGAAAAUAUACCAGCAACAGAUAUAAAAUUGACUAACAUUAACAACUUCACUCGAUGUUUUUUCAUUUACUCGGAAACUUGAAAAAAAAAUUCUUUUUUUGGUUAAUCUUAGAGCUUUAAUUAUUAGUAGUGAGUUGAACAACUCACCGUACCACUUGGCGAGCUCCUCGUCGGCGGGUGAAACGGGGGCGGGCUUGGCCUUGGCUGGCGCAGCCUUCUUCUUGGAGAAGAGGGCGACGGUCUUAAAGGUGGCGGGGCUGGAGGCGGAGGGAGCAGUUCUGGAGGCGCCGGAGAAGUUGAGAGGGUUACCGAGCAUCUCGGAGACGCCGAGGGAGGAGGCGGCGGUGGUGGCAGCGAGGGAGGCCAUGAGGGUCACCGGAAAGUUGAGUCUCCGGUAGUGGGAAGUGGAAGCAAUGGGUGGUGGGGAGGGUGAGGAGGCAGAUACUAAAUGGUGG
rnacentral:lncRNA from 1 species